CCUACGGGGGGCUGCAGUGAGGAAUAUUGGGCAAUGGACGAGAGUCUGAACCAGCCAAGUAGCGUGAAGGAUGACUGCCCUAUGGGUUGUAAACUUCUUUUAUAUGGGAAUAAAAUGUUCCACGUGUGUGAGUUUGUAUUUACCAUAUGAAUAAGGAUCGGCUAACUCCGUGCCAGCAGCCGCGGUAAUACGGAGGAUCCGAGCGUUAUCCGGAUUUAUUGGGUUUAAAGGGAGUGUAGGUGGGUUGUUAAGUCAGUUGUGAAAGUUUGCGGCUCAACCGUAAAAUUGCAGUUGAAACUGGCAGUCUUGAGUACAGUAGAGGUGGGCGGAAUUCGUGGUGUAGCGGUGAAAUGCGUAGAGAUCACGAAGAACUCCGAUUGCGAAGGCAGCUCACUGGACUGCAACUGACGCUCAUGCACGAAAGUGUGGGUAUCGAACAGGAUUAGAUACCCUGGUAGUC
rnacentral:rRNA from 1 species